CAGAUUUGAUGGGAACGAGCGGUUUCUCGGAGCUACUUAACUCCGGCUAUGUCGACAAAAAAGGGUUCUAGUGCUUCCUGCUGUUGUGAGAUACUUGAUUGCAUGUUUUAGUUUCGGUGGAAAGUUUUGUUUAUGGAAUUGUAAUGGAUUCUAAUAUCCAUGAGAGGCUGAAUGAUCGGUGUACCAGCCGGAACAUUUCCGACAGAAACUAGGGCUUCACGCUCAGGGUCGCUCAUUCCGUUGCCUGAUUCGCUGACAAGAGAGCGUCGCAGAGAUGUUGCAAUUGGAAGAGAAGUAAAGUAAUUCGAACUAUACUCAUUGUCGAUCUGCUGAGGGCAGUGUUCUUGGUGGAGUCUUGUCAGGUUUCUCCAAAACCGGGUACUUUACUCCACUCACUCACGUUCCUGCAUCAUAAUAUCCAUGAACCUCUGGCCAAACAUUAUUCCUAUGUCAGGAUUCUCCAAAGCCAGAACUUUCGUUGUUUUUUCUAUAAGCAAUGCAGUUCAAACUUAUCACGGAGGCUAACGGAUUCAAUAUGAAGAAUUCAUUUAAUCAGUUUAUUCCUCUGUGAAUUUUUCUAUGCACUUUUCAAAGCUGAAAAUAUCCUGCAAUGAUGUAUCAUUUUCACGGCCAUUGUCACAAAUUCUUUAAUCCGAGACUUGCAAAUGCAUAUAUUCAACACAUGAAAUAGAUGCUUGAAACUCACCUUUAAGUCUAUACUACAAAGUGGUGAAUAAAGACUCCCACUAACAUGCACUCUUCUAGUUUGAGACUUGGUCCUGUCAACAAUACAAAAAAAAGAUUUGAGUUGUGAGCUAAGGCACAAAACGUCUUGAAGAUAUAUUGAGGAUAUUUUACCUCUUGAGUUGCUCUUGCUUUAUUACUUGUCUAACAGACUCUGAAUCUCUUACUGCUCCAAUAUCAUCACGCUUCACGGAAUGUGAGGAUGCAUCAUUAAUGUAUCAUGGAUGACUUUCUCAGCUGAAGAGAGUGAGCUGGGUUUAAAUUCCUUUUCCCGAGCAAACAAAUGUGGAUUCCUCAUUAGAACACUCCCAUGUCCAAUCUCAACAGAGAACACUGACAUUUCAUUCUGAAAAAAGAAGAUCUUCCUCUGAUGAAAAUGAGACACGGCUAUUGCUGCUCUUGUAGAAUUUUGUAAAGAUCCGUCGUGAGCUUUUCAAUAGAAGAUGACUUGAAUGUCCAAUAUAUGUGCUCCCCUUUUAAGGAUUUUUUUUAAUUAAAAAAAAACUAUCAAAACCCCCAUAUAAACCCUCACCCAAAUCUUCAAAUUCCCACAAAAAUCUUCAAAUCCCCAUUUUUUGAUAAAACCUGAAAUUUUAUGAAAUCCCUAAUACGAGUUUUUGGCUCUCCAUAAACAAAUCUCAAGAGUGAAACUCCAAAUAUAGAGUUUCACUUUUCAAAACUUCAAAUUUAAAGUUUCAUCUUUUUAUUUGUAUUUUGGUCCUUACAAUUAUACAUCAUAUUUAUAAUUCUUAAAUAUAUUUUUGUUUAUUGUUUUAAUCCUUAAAACUUUUCUAUCUCAUAAAUAUUUCAAAUUUGUUUUAUAAAUUUAAGUUUUAUACAUGAAAUUAAAUAAAAAAAUUAAAACAAGAUUUAUAAUAUUUUAAAACUAGAAUUAAACAACAAGAAUAUUACAAAAAACCAUAAUAAAAACUUAUUAAAAAGACACAUGAAGACAUAAUUAUUACUCAAAUUUAAAUAUUAUAACAACACUAAUAGUCUGGUAAAUUUGCCCCGGAACCUCCCAAAUCUCAAAAUUAUUGUCCAAACAAAUUUUAUGUAACCGAAGAUAAUUGUUGUUGUUGCUCUUGACGCCUUUUUUGUACGAUUCUUUCUUGUUCAGAUCGAAUGUAUUCACGAAUAUUGACAUCGUCGAUAGAAACUAAGUUUUUUUAGCAAUAUUUUAUUUUCUUCUUUUACUUCUUUAAAAGCUAACUUUUUUGCUUCAUUUUGCAGUCGUAAUUCAAUCAUCUCAUGACUUUUUUUCCUGUUUGUUGUACUUUCGUUUAAAAGAUCAAGGAUUUUUUCGUUUAAUAAUAUCAAACUAUCAGCGGCCAUAUUAUUACCUUAAGUAGUCUUCAUGUAGCAGGAUCAUCUCGUUACUGGAAGAAGGAAGUAUUGCAUGAUAUAAUAACGGCAUGCAUUAUAAUUCAUAACAUGAUAAUUGAGGAUGAACAUGAUAUCAAUGUGCCGAUAAAGGAUACAAGAUCAAUGGCAGGAGCAACAGUUGAAAUGACGGAAAAUGAGGAUAUCCGAUUUCAACAAUUUUUAGCUCGUAAUCUACAAAUAAAAAAUAAAGAGAAUCAUUUCUUACUUCGAAAUGCACUAGUUGAUCAUAUAUGAGAGCAUUACGGAAAUAAUUUUAUGGAAUAAUGUAGUAUUUGCUUGCAGUUUAAUAUUUAAUUAUGUAUUUUUAUUUAUAAUUUUAUAUUUUAGUGUAAGAUUUUAAUAAUUAAUAUUUCUGUAAUAUUUAUAUAUAUGUACUAGUUAUUUAUAGAAGUUUUAAGAAUUUACAUUAACUAUGACAAAUAUAAGGACCAUAGCAUAGAAUAUAAAUAAUUUUGCAGUCGUAAUUCAAUCAUCUCAUGAAUUUUUUCCCUGUUUGUUGUACUUUCGUUUAAAAGAUCAAAAUUUUUUUCGUUUGAUGAUAUCAAACUAUCAGCGGCCAUAUUAUUACCUUCAGUAGUCUUCAUGUAGCAGGAUCAUCUCGUUACUGGAAGAAGGAAGUAUUGCAUGAUAUAAUGACGGCAUGCAUUAUUAUGCAUAACAUGAUAAUUGAGGAUGAACGUGAUAUCAAUGUGCCGAUAAAAGAUACAAGAUCAAUGGCAGAAGCAACAGUUGAAAUGACGGAAAAUGAGGAUAUCCGAUUUCAAUAAUUUUUGGCUUGUAAUCUACAUAUAAAAAAUAUUUCUUACUUCGACAUGCACUAGUUGAUCAUAUAUGGGAGCAUUACGGAAAUAAUUUUAUGGAAUAAUGUAGUAUUUGCUUGCAGUUUAAUAUUUAAUUAUGUACUUUUAUUUAUAAUUUUAUAUUUUAUGUAAGAUUUUUAUAAUUAAUAUUUCUGUAAUAUUUAUAUAUAUGUACUAGUUAUUUGUAUAAGUUUUAAGAAUUUACAUUAACUAUGACAAAUAUAAGGACCAUAGCAUAAAAUAUAAAUAAUUUUGAAGUUAGGUUUGAAGUUUUACUUUUGGAAAAAAACACAUUGAAACUUCAAAUAUAGAGUUUUGGAAACUUCAAAUAUAGAGUUUUGGAAACUUCAAAAUAGAGUUCCUUUUGGGAGAUGCUCUAACUAAAUCUAUAAAAUUUAACAUAAAUAUGGAUGUUUAAGUUUCAAUUGUUUUGAUCAAAUUAUUUUUAACAAUAUACUCAAUCUUGAUACGCAUCCGUGCAGAUUUUUUUUAUACUAAAAUAUUAUAAUUUAUAUAACAUUAUCAUGUAUCAAUAUUAUUUCACAUAAUUUUUGUAUUUUUUAAAAGAAAUUAUUUUGUAAACAUUAUUAAGUAACAAUACUAUUUUUCAUAACUUAAUGUUUCAUUUCUAAAAUUUGGAAUUUAUACGGAAAUUAAAUUGAAAUGAACUUAUAUAAUAGAGAUGAUUUUUUUUGAGCUACUAUU